rnacentral:rRNA from 1 species
UCCCUAUGGGGUGCAGCAGUCGCGAAAACUUUGCAAUACACGAAAGUGUGACAAGGCUAUCCCGAGUGCCAUCCGCUGAGGAAGGCUUUUACCCAGUAUAAAUAGCUGGGAGAAUAAGGAGAGGGCAAGUCUGGUGUCAGCCGCCGCGGUAAUACCAGCUCUCCGAGUAGUGUGGAUGUUUAUUGGGCCUAAAGCAUCCGUAGCUUGCUAAGCAAGUCCCCUGUUAAAUCCACCGAUUCAAUCGGUGGAUUGCGGGGGAUACUGUUUGGCUAGGGGACGGGAGAGGCCGACGGUAUUCCCGGGGUAGGGGUGAAAUCCUAUAAUCCCGGGAAGACCACCAGUGGCGAAGGCUGUCGGCUAGAACGCGCCCGACGGUGAGGGAUGAAAGCUGGGGGAGCGAACCGGAUUAGAUACCCGGGUAGUCCCAGCUGUAAACGAUGCAGGCUAGGUGUUUGGGCGGCCACGAGCCGCCCUAGUGCCGCAGGGAAGCUGUUAAGCCUGCCGCCUGGGGAGUACGGCCGCAAGGCUGAAACUUAAAGGAAUUGGCGGGGGAGCACCACAAGGGGUGAAGCUUGCGGUUUAAUUGGAUUCAACGCCGGAA